GACGAACGCUGGAGGCGUGCUUAACACAUGCAAGUCGAACGAUGAAAUGGAGCUUGCUCCAUGGAUUAGUGGCGAACGGGUGAGUAACACGUGAAUAACCUGCCCUUAAUUUUGGAAUAACCCAGGGAAACCUGGGCUAAUACCGGAUAAGUAAACCUGUGGCAUCACAUGGUUUUGGAACGUUUUUCGAUUAAGGAUGGAUUCGCGGCCUAUCAGCGUGUUGGUGAGGUAAUGGCUCACCAAGGCGACGACGGGUAGCCGGCCUGAGAGGGUGAACGGCCACACUGGGACUGAGACACGGCCCAGACUCCUACGGGAGGCAGCAGUGGGGAAUAUUGCGCAAUGGACGAAAGUCUGACGCAGCGACGCCUCGUGAGGGACGAAGGUCUUCGGAUUGUAAACCUCUUUCAGCAGGGACGAAGCGAAAGUGACGGUACCUGCAGAAGAAGCACCGGCUAACUAUGUGCCAGCAGCCGCCGUAA
rnacentral:rRNA from 1 species